rnacentral:rRNA from 1 species
UAAGCCAUGCGAGUCGAAUGGAAUGCCCUGUAUUCCAUGGCGACUGCUCAGUAACAAGUGAUCCAACUUAACCUUCAGAAGUGCAUAACCUCGGGAAACUGAGGAUAAUACGCUAUAUUUGGAAAAGUCUGGAACGAUUUUCCAUUCAAAGAGUUUUCUAAUUGGGGAAAAUUUCGCUGAAGGAUAGGAUCGCUCCCGAUUAUGGUUGUUGGUGAGGUAAUGGCUCACCAAGCCUAUGAUCGGUAAGGGCCGUGAGAGCGGAAGCCCUGAGAUGGGUACUGAGAUAAGGACCCAGGUCUUACGAGACGCAGCAGGCGCGAAACCUUUACAAUGCGCGAAAGCGUGAUAAGGUUACCCGGAGUGCUAGGGGACGAAAUCCCCUAGCUGUUGUAGGGUGUAGAUAUCCCUACGAGAAAGGAGAGGGCAAGGCUGGUGCCAGCCGCCGCGGUAAAACCAGCUCUUCAAGUGGUCGGGCCAAUUAUUGGGCUUAAAGUGUCCGUAGCCGGUUUAGUAAGUUCCUGGUUAAAUUUGGCAGCUUAACUGUCACAUUGCUAGGAAUACUGCUUUACUAGGGGGCGGGAAAGGUCUGAGGUACUCCAGGGGUAGCGGUGAAAUGCGAUAAUCCUUGGGGGACCACCAGUGGCGAAAGCGUCAGACUGGAACGCGCCCGACGGUGAGGGACGAAAGCCAGGGGAGCGAACGGGAUUAGAUACCCCGGUAGUCCUGGCUGUAAACGAUGCGCGCUAGGUGUUGGUAGGGCUAUGAGCUGUAUCAGUGCCGUAGGGAAACUGUUAAGCGCGCCGCCUGGGAAGUACGCUCGCAAGAGUGAAACUUAAAGGAAUUGGCGGGGGAGCACCACAAGGGGUGAAGCCUGCGGUUCAAUUGGAUUCAACCCCGGG